rnacentral:rRNA from 1 species
UACGUAGGUGGCAAGCGUUGUCCGGAUUUAUUGGGUUUAAAGCGUGCGCAGGCGGUUUUGUAAGUCAGGGGUGAAAUAUGUCAGCUUAACUGAGAGGGUGCCAUUGGUACUGCAGAACUUGAGUACAGAUGAGGUAGGCGGAAUUGACGGUGUAGCGGUGAAAUGCUUAGAUAUCGUCAAGAACACCUAUAGCGAAGGCAGCUUACUAGGCUGUAACUGACGCUGAGGCACGAAAGUGUGGGGAUCAAACAGG